UUCAUAUUGAUUUCUUAGAGAAAAAACGCUCCUUGUUGAGUUGCAGUGGAAGAUAUCUAGGAAAGAAAGCCCUUAAUAUUAUUUAGGGAGCACAUGUAAAGUGUAGAGUUGUACCGAGGCAACUCAACUUCGAGUGCUUCACUUCUAGGCCUUGGAUCAUUCUUGACAGCAUAUGUUGUAUCAAUUUUUUUUGGAGCUAUAUAUGAUCCCUCACUGAUUAGUCAUUUAUUUUUUUCUUUUGUAUUUCUCAUUCAUUUUCAAAAUUACUUUCACACCAGUGC
rnacentral:lncRNA from 1 species